AGUGCCCACGUUGACUCCUUUUCACUGCCGAAAGCGCCUUCAAUGAAGUUGUGAGCAUCGGAACUGGUCCUGGUCAUGUGACUGUUACUUUGACACCUACCUAGAGCUUGUUGCAGACCACGCACCCCUUCAUGGCAACGGUGUUCCCUGAUGGCAGGAUAAUGCACCAUGCCACUCUGUUUCAGCAGGAUAAUGUAUUGUGCCACACUGCAAAAAUUGUUCAGGAAUGGUUUGAAGAACAUGAUAAAGAGUUUAAGGUGUUAAACAACAAAUCCAAUCCAUGGAGGUCCCACCUCGCAACUUGCAUGACCUAAAGGAUCUGCUUCUAAAAUAUUGGCGCUGGAUACUACAGGACAUAUUUAGAGGUCAACGCAUCAGAGCUGUUCUGGCAGCACUAUGGGGACCAACACAAUAUUAGGCAGGUAGUUUUAAUGUUGUGGCUGAUCAAUGUAGAUGUUCAAUAACUCUGGUAUUCAUGGUGUUAAAAUCAACAUAACUAAGAACGAUGGAUAAGUGG